rnacentral:miRNA from 1 species
UAGGGUACUGACAUUGAAUGAGU